rnacentral:rRNA from 1 species
GGGGCGCAGCAGGCGCGAAUCCUCUGCAAUAGGCGAAAGCUUGACAGGGUUACUCUGAGUGAUUUCCGUUAAGGAGAUCUUUUGGCACCUCUAAAAAUGGUGCAGAAUAAGGGGUGGGCAAGUCUGGUGUCAGCCGCCGCGGUAAUACCAGCACCCCGAGUGGUCGGGACGUUUAUUGGGCCUAAAGCAUCCGUAGCCGGUUCUACAAGUCUUCCGUUAAAUCCACCUGCUUAACAGAUGGGCUGCGGAAGAUACUAUAGAGCUAGGAGGCGGGAGAGGCAAGCGGUACUCGAUGGGUAGGGGUAAAAUCCGUUGAUCCAUUGAAGACCACCAGUGGCGAAGGCGGCUUGCCAGAACGCGCUCGACGGUGAGGGAUGAAAGCUGGGGGAGCAAACCGGAUUAGAUACCCGGGUAGUCCCAGCUGUAAACGAUGCAGACUCGGUGAUGAAUUGGCUUAUUGCUAAUUCAGUGCCGCAGGGAAGCCGUUAAGUUUGCCGCCUGGGGAGUACGGUCGCAAGACUGAAACUUAAAGGAAUUGGCGGGGGAG